UUGAAGGCAUUGAUCUUAGUGAAACCCUAAACACAAACAAAAUGAAACAACGAUAACAACUAGUGAGCCAAUAAUGCAUCACAGUGAACGUGUAGGCUGGUCUGCUUUGUGUAUGGGGGGCUGAUGGCAGCAGCAUGAAGGGCUGUGGCUCAGUAAGUCUGCCUGUGGCUGGACAACACACAGGACCUGUGAAUACUGUGCAACACCACUUCCUGGAUCAUUAUUCCUCGCUAACUAUACAAUUCAUCGUUCAGGCUAAGUCGGUCUCCAGGGCGAGAAGUGGCUGGUCGAGCUAAUGAUAAAAAUAAGAAUAAAAUAAAUACAGAUAAAACCCUGACAACCACAUUAAUUAGCAGCUGUCACUUAGGGAGUGCCAGUCACUGUGCUAUGUGCUUUGCAUACCGUAUUGUAUCAAAACCUCACAGGACACCCAGCGAGAUGGGUUUAUCAUCACUUUACAGACAGGGGAACUGCAGUAUGGAUACACAGUGGAACCCAUCAGAGCUGGAACUCAACGGGAACCCACUGCUCUCCAGUCAAUUCUGACUCAUGGUGACCCUACAGGACAGAGCAGAACUGCCCCACAGGGUUUCCAAGGAGUGGCUCAUGGAUUCAAACUGCCGACCUUUUGAGUUCAUUUGGCAGAACUGACACUACCGAGCAAGCACCCUUACCCACGGGCUACUGGUAAUGUUCACGGAGGCAAGGCAGAAGGUAAGCCAUCCACCCCACUCAUCCAGACCGGCCUGGCUCCUGUACCCCCUCAGCUUUCAGUAGCACAAGCAGGACUAAAGAAGACUGAGCUGCAGGGCUAGAGCUUGCCCGGAGCUGUGGGUUCAAGACCAGAGCACAGCCUCCGGGUAGGACUCACACGCCCUCCUGGUCUUUGGUACCUGGGUGGGAUGUGGCGGAGACAUACUAAGGAGUUGCCAGACACGAACCUCCCAUCUGUUUAGUCCUCUCAACUAAAAUCAGAAUUCCUACUCAGCCCACUUUAACAUCAAGUCCGUUUAUUCAAAGUGUCAAGAACGAAGCAGUUAGGUAGUGGCGCUUGUGUGUUAUUAAAUUACUGAGCAAUUCUCAGUACUGAGAUCGUAUCAAAUGCAAUCAAAGCAAAUUAAUUCUAUUUCGAGUAUUUCUUUCCCCUCUUUAUGAUGUUCAGAAAUGUUUAAUGGUUUGGAUUUUGAAGUUUAACGAUAGGACUGAAAACCACAACUGUUAGGAGCUGCCACCUCCUCAACCACUUAGCUGCUCGCUAAGUGACUGGGCAGGAAACCUAACUUUCACACCUCUUGGGACAGGAAGCAAAAGAGAAGAAUUACUGGGCCUACAAAAGGGGAAGUGGAAGAAAGCCUGUGCGGAACUCAAAAAAUGAGCUUUAGGUCACGCACAUAUUUACAAUUUCAAAAACAGGUCAAAGUUGGCCCUGUUCCUGAGAAACGCAGAGGCUCUCUCCGCAGCUUGUUAAAACCAAAGCACAGACCACCCACUUUUGCUUAAAAGGAAAAGUGCUGAGGAAAUUUUUUGGGGGUGAUGAUAUCUUCAUUAUCCUGACUGCGGCGAUGGCUUCACCGGUAUUUACGAAUGUCAAAACUUAUCACUCUGUCUACUCUUAUGUGUGUGCAGUUUGAAUGUACGGCAAUACUUCUUCCAUAAAACUGUUAAGGAAAAGGGAAGCAUUAACCGAUAAAACAUCUCAAUAGCAGUGUGAGCAAGAGAGGACACACUUCAGGCUGCAGACAGCCAUCGGCUGCAUGUCCUUGAGUAAAACACAAGCGUGGACUCUGGAGUGGCAUGUGAUGGUGUGAGAUCCCGGCAGCUCAGGAACACGGCUUUAAUGAAUUCACAGGACGGCGGUAUUGUAAAGGCGCAGGUGACACCCUUCUUUUUAAAUUAUGUGCGCGUGAAGUUACAAAUGAGCCGGCUCAGCUCAAAUAAGGUUAAAAACGACUGCGUUACAACAGAGCGUGACGGGUAAGCACGUGAGGGGUGUUUAUUUGGGGAAUCUGAACUCUGGAUCAUUACAACAUGCUGUAAGCUACCGGUCCACCGAAAGAUACAGGUUCCUACAAUUCCACAGCUGAUAGGAGUCCCUGGGUGGUGCAAAAGGUUAAUGAGCUCAGCUGGUAACCCCAAAGAUUGGAGACUCAAGCACACCAAGAGGUGCCUCUGAAGAAGGGCCUGGCAAUCUACUUCCUAAAAAUGAGUCAUUGAAAACCCUAUGGAGCACAAUUGUACUCCAACAUAAGUGGGGUUGCCGUAAGUUGGAACUGACCCCAUGGCAACCGGUCGCAGUCAACAAGCCCAUACAAAUCCAUCAUCAGGACAAAAGGCAAAUGAGAGAGAACCUGGAAGUCGAGGGUGUGAAAAGAAACAAGAAGCCUGAGACAAGGUGAGUUUUUCCCUGUUCACCUAAAAAUAACUCUCAGAGGUCUUAACUUGGCCCACCCAACAUGGACUCAGAGUCAAAGGGAACUGAGCUGUGUCCUAAAGCCUCGUACCUGAAACACCAGAAUUCCUGUGUUGGCAACGGCCAGGUUGAUCUUAGUACCUUCCCUGUCCUUGGCCGGGUGCAGCCGGAUCCCGUACAUCUCCAGCCGACGGGCAAUCUCCAGGAGCUGGAAAUCAGACUCAGCCGGUGUUUGUCCGCUGACAAAACAAAAAGGAAAACAAAGGCCAGGAGAUUUGAAUUCCUUGCAUCUAUUAGUUUGAGAUUAAGCAGUUUCUCCUGGGAAAUAAAAAGGCAUUUCAAUUCACAAACAGUGAGGCUAACCGAUCAGAUGACACCUGACCUCCCGUUCCCUGCGACCCAACGUCUAACAGCUAGGACAAAAGCUCUAUUGCUUGUGAAACACAAAACCCCAGAAGUCUGUCUCCAAGUUGGCCAGUUUUUUGGAAUCUCAAAGAGCUCCCUCUAAGGUCAUAGAAAAGCAAAAUACCACUGUGUUAAAACAAGUUGUUAGUCACUCACAAUGAACACAAAUUUCUAAGCAAAGCUCAAGGCAACACAUCUAUCAUGUUAUCAGCAGGCACAAACAACAACACAGAGAAUCCUUUUAAAACGUUUUACUGAUUAGAACAAAACAACAAAAUGGAGAUGUUACAAAGGCUGAAGAGUCUUACCAUCUUACUUGGUCCCAGCUCCCCAUGCCCCAUGCCCCAUCUUUUCCUAAGAUGAUAACUGGGUGAUGGCUGGGUCUUACACUUUCCCAUUUAUUCCAAAGCCUGAGAUGGAGGCCCGGGUGAGGGCAGCUCUUGACAUAACAACUCUGGUCUCACACGAAAAUCAGCUGGGGGCCUGGAGCCUUCCCUGCAGUUCUGAGUGUCUAGGAAGGGCACUAGCAACCCAACGAGCCUCUGUGUGCUUCUCCCCUGCCCCUUGUGUUUCUUCACAAUGGUUUCUACAUGUCCACAAGUGUGUGCGUGUGUGUACACGCAUGUGUGUACACGCAUGUGUGUACCUAUAUAAACUGGGAGGGCAGAGAGAAACAGCUCAAUGGGAACAUAAGGCAACAAAUGAGACUUACAUGUGGUUAUGGUGAAACUCCACAAUUUUGUCUUCUAGUGCAUCUUGCUGAGGUAUGUACUUAUUUUUUGCUAAGUGUUCUCUGUCCAAUGCUUCGUCAAAAUCCCCAAUCUCAGCUAAGAAACACACAAAGAAAAAAAAACAAGAAAAUACUUUGUUAGCACUUCACAAUUUGUUAUGUCCCUGGUGGAAUAUCACUCAGCCAGCAAAUUAGAAGCCAGGUGAUAGAUAACAUGAGGAGAUCCCAGUUGGGGGAUAGCAUCAUAAGGGCUAGAUGUUAGAAGGUGCAGAUGCGAGUCCAAAAAAAAACCCCAAACCCACUGCCAUCCAGUCCAUUCUGACUCAUAGUGACCCUACAGCACAGAGCAGAACGGUCCCAUAGGGUCUCCAAGGCUGUAAAUCUUUACAGAAACAGACUGUAUCAUCUUUCUCCCAUGGAGCGGCUGGUGAGUUCAAACUGCCAAUCUUUUGGCUAGCAGUUGAGCAUUUAACCACUGUGCCACCAGGGCUCCUUACGAUGUGAGGGCAUAUUUAAUAAUUGUGGCAACGUAGGAAGACAGUUUUCACUCUCCUUAUUUCUAACACUUGGAAAGAAAACUUCAGAAUCGUCCAUCUUCAGCUGUCUGCGCCCUGCUGUGGGUCUUCCUCACCAUCUAACACCGACCGGGUCACUCCCCUUCUCCUCUGUAAAUUCUAUGCACGUGGAUUAUCACACUUCUUGACUUCUAACCAAGUCAUACUUUCCGGACUCUACAAAAUCAACUUUUAAAAUUCUUACAUACAAUAGUUAUUAAGCAAAAUACAAAUGCUUUAUCUUUUAUAGAAAAGAUGACUGUAAAUGGAUACAAAUGCAGACGAUUUAAUGUGGUGGAAAAAAAAACAAGCUGAAGGAGCUUAUUAAAUUUCCGGUACUCUCGUCAGAACCAGCUGGGACUAACAGGCCGUAGUUAAUGAUGAAUAUUAAAUUGAAGAACAGGAAGGAACAAGCUUAGUCUACUUUGCCAUCGUUUACCCGAGCUUCCCCCUCGAGACACUUGAACACCAACAAUUGCGUUGUAAAUGGUGAAUGAAGCAGGCAUCCAUGCUAAAACAACACAGUGGCAUUAUACUGGUUUGUGUGGAUGUGAUUUUUUCCCAUCAAAAAGACCGUUGUGUUAUUUCCAACAUGGCUUCUAAAGGAUGCCACCAGAACUUACAU